rnacentral:rRNA from 1 species
CCUACGGGUGGCAGCAGUCGAGAAUCAUUCACAAUGGGGGAAACCCUGAUGGUGCGACGCCGCGUGGGGGAAUGAAGGUCUUCGGAUUGUAAACCCCUGUCAUGUGGGAGCAAAUUAAAAAGAUAGUACCACAAGAGGAAGAGACGGCUAACUCUGUGCCAGCAGCCGCGGUAAUACAGAGGUCUCAAGCGUUGUUCGGAAUCACUGGGCGUAAAGCGUGCGUAGGCUGUUUCGUAAGUCGUGUGUGAAAGGCGCGGGCUCAACCCGCGGACGGCACAUGAUACUGCGAGACUAGAGUACUGGAGAGGCAGAUGGAAUUCCUAGUGUAGCGGUGAAAUGCGUAGAUAUUAGGAGGAACACUCGUGGCGAAGGCGGGUUCCUGGACAUUAACUGACGCUGAGGCACGAAGGCCAGGGGAGCGAAAGGGAUUAGAUACCCCGGUAGUC